rnacentral:rRNA from 1 species
AGGAAGGUGGGUAUGUUAAUAGCAUAUUCAUUUGACGUUUAGCUGCAGAAGAAGCACCGGCUAACUCCGUGCCAGCAGCCGCGGUAAUACGGAGGGUGCGAGCGUUAAUCGGAAUUACUGGGCGUAAAAGCGCAUGCAGGUGGUUUGUUAAGUCAGAUGUGAAAGCCCGGGGCUCAACCUCGGAAUUGCAUUUGAAAACUGGCAAACUAGAGUACUGUAGAGGGGGUAGGAAUUUCAGGUGUAGCGGUGAAAUGCGUAGAGAUCUGAAGGAAUACCGGUGGCGAAGGCGGCCCCCUGGACAGAUACUGACACUCAGAUGCGAAAGCGUGGGGAGCAAACAGGAUUAGAUCCCCUGGUAG